rnacentral:lncRNA from 1 species
GGAAACUGGAUGUUCUCCUAAAACAGCCACCUAGCCAAGCUGAACCAACAGAGAUGUAUUGAUCACCGGGUCAAUGGAACUAGGUGGGUGCUGGGGGGAAAGUCAGCAGGUAAGUCAGGUGAGGACUGCCUCCCUUCCACUCCCCACCCAGAGACUGAAGACAGACAGACAGACAGAGGCGUUCAUUCAGAAAGAAGUAGGAGGGCUUCAGGGAUUCAGCGGAGGAGACUGAAAGCCUGAGAGACGAUGCCUCUGAGAAGGUUACAGGAACCUGACAAGACUGACUAGCCAUCUCUAGCAUUCAGAUAGGUGGAACUUCAUUGUGCUGAAGUUAUGUUUGAGCACCCUCUGCUGGACAAAUCAGGUAAGUACAGGAUUUUUUUUUUUUUUUUUGGUCUUGUGCCUUUUAAAUUCAUGCUCCGAAGAAGAGAAGAUUUUUAUCUCGAAUCUACACUAAAAGAAGUCUCCUCUUUAAACAGAUGCUCUAUGACUACCAACAAUGUACCAGUGGUAUUCGUCUCUUGCAGAUCUGGAAGAAAAUGAAAUUUAGAUGUGAGCGAGCAGUCUCCUUCCUGCUGCUGCAGCUGCAAGCUGCUCCUGCCGCCCAUGCCUUCUCUACUGCCAUGCCUUCCCUACCACAAGGGCCAGAACUCUCACACUGAAAGCCAGAAUAAAUCCUUCCUCUCUUCGGUUGGUUGUUGUCAGGUAAUUGGUCCCAACCAUGGUAAAGCUUAGUGGAAAAGAAAAAAAAGGUAAAAAUCUAUUGUAGACUGAGUGCCCUGAAUCAGAAAACACACAGUCCAGCUGCUCUGAAAUCUAAGCAUCAUCGUGACACUACAAAGAGAAAACUCCAUAUCUGACCACACAUGAGAAUCUACUGAUGAAUACAACCAUGGGUUUACUAAAAAAAGGUGUAUAAAAUGAUCUUCAAGCUGCUCGUAUAAGAUAGGUAUGAAGUGUAAAUUGAAUUUUGGGUCUGACCCCCUAACAUAUUUUCCUGCGUGAAUACAAAUUCCCUCAAGUCCAAAUAACCCCACACUUGGGCGUUUCAGAUAGGGGAUACCCAAUCUGUAAGCCGUUUACUGCCAUAGAGAAGCUAUGAUGCAAGCAGAGCCUACUAACAACUUGGCCAAAACACUUCUAAUAACAGAACUUCACAUGGGUUUCCAUGAGGUCAGAAUGGAAGUAGGAGGAUACAUUGUUUGACGUCAUGGUAUCUGUCCAAUUAAGGUCUGUGUGAGCCUUCCAUCACCAUAACAAAACACAGAACAGAAUCAGCUUUUUAAGGGGGCUUAUUUUGGAUUAUGGUUGCAUAGGAAGAUAUAUAGAUAGGAUCUCCAUGCCAAUAUUUUUAAUGGGUGCUGUCUCUAUUGCUCUGGGCAGGAGAAGGCAGCAGCUGGCAUCAAUGGUGUGGUGAGGAGAGAAUCAAGUUUCCUUCUCCAGUUCAAACAGACGAAAGUGAAGCGACAUAGGCUCAAGGACAGGGUCACUGGGCUAGCGCCACACCAUGGAGCCAAACCCCGAGCCUUCUAAAUUGUGAGCUGGGCAUGGUGGUUCACCCCAGGAAUCGCAGCACUGAGGGAUGAAGGCGAGAGAGUCACUGUGGGUGUGACAUCAGUCUGGCCUGAAGUCUGAGACUGUUUUUUUAAAAAGAAAACAUUUUUUUAUGUCAUAUAUUUAAUUAUAUAAAGAUUCUGUUGUUUUGUUGUUGUUGUUGUUAAAAUUCAGCCAGGAAAUUUCCAUCUGUCUGGUGUUAAUUGGUUGUUUUUCAGCACUAAUUGGGAAAUGAUAUAUUUUUAUUGUUUUAUAAAUAGAGUAAAACCCCUCAGAAACUGCUGGGGAAAUUUAAACAAGGAAAGCAAUUCUAUGUCCUUGCUUGACACCAGUUUGUCCCAGAGGUGACACAACUGUGUAGUUUUUGAAAACACUGGGCAUUUAUAUAUAUAUGAGACAAAACCCCACUGUAUAGCCCUGGCUAACUCGAAACUCACUAUGUAAAUCAGGCUGGGCUUUGACACACAGAGCUCUGCCUUUGCCUACUCAGUGUUGGGAUUUAACACCCACACCACCAUAGCCAGCCUUCUCUCCAAGGGGCAAAUUUCUUUCUGAAGCAACUUCCUCAUUUAUUAACAGUAUUGCUUCCAGACCCCGUGUGUGUGUGUGUGUGUGUGUGUGUGUGUGUGUGUGUGUGUACAGAUAUGUGUUUGCAAGUAUUUAGACACAAGUUGAUGCAGACUACACCAGUUUCAUGAAAUUGUUCCCAUGUCAGUGGCUAGUCUGAGCCUUUUGUACUUGUAAACAGCUGGCUGUAAACUGGGGAUUCCCAUACUCUCCUCUUCAGCCCCAUAAUUAUCAUGGUGAUUUGCAACCUGUAGGUAAUGACCCGUUUGGCUCAUAUAUCAGAUAUUCUGCAUGUCAGAUAUUUAUAUUUUGAUUCAUAACAAUAGUAAAAUUAUAGUUAUGAAGUAGUAAUGUAAAUAGUUACACUGUGGGGGUCACCACAACACGAGGAACUGUGUUAAAUGGCUUCAGCAAUAGGAAGGUUGAGAGCCACUGAUUUAUUAGGUCAUUUCAUGGAUCGUGGGGAUGCUUUCUACUUUCAUCUAUUGUUUAUUACAAAAGAUGUAGACAGACAGAUAGAUAGACAGACUCACAGAUAAAUAGAAAAAUAGAUGACAGAAAGAUAGAAAGUUAGGUAAAAAGAUAAAAAGAUAGGUAGAUGCUAGAAAGAUAGAUAGACUCAAAGACAAAUAGAAAGAUAGAUAAUAGAGAAAGGUGGAAAGAAAAAUAGAUAGAUGAUGGAAAGAUAGGUAGAUAGACUGACAGAAUGA